AUUUCCAAGACCACGCCUCUCCCAGGGAUUUUGAUAUAUUUCCCCCCUCCCCGUCCGCCCCCGUUUGCAUAGCCAUGCUCUCCUUGACAACCGCCCCUUUUCGUGCUUAGUACGUGACAGACAGUAGCACCUAUCCAAUAAAAAGGACACACUCUGUACAUUCUGCCUGUUAAAGGAAAGCAAUAAGAAUAAGAAUAAAAGCAUAAGAAUAAGACGAGGAGCAGGAGGAGGAAGAGGAUCUUAAAUAUUUGAAGGAGAAGAGAAUUAUUGCUGAGAGUUACCAGCUUCCCUGCCUCUACUCCGGACUGGGAAGUACUUAAGCCAAUUAAAAUUACAACUAGACAUUACUUACAAGCCAAUGGAACAACAGACAAAAGAAUAAAAGGUGGGGAAGAUCGGAAGUAGUAGAGACGCUGUGCAAAGGUUGGAACGAAGCAAGUGCCCAAAGGCCUGAAACAGCGCCCGUUUGAGAGCUAUUGAGAAGCAGAGAGGGAACAAGCGAGCGAGUCUGGGAAAAUGGGUCACUGCGCAGGCAGCCGCGCAACUGAAACUAAAAAGCACGAUUUGCUAUGUAUGUAGUCUAAGAAAAGGGGAUGGGAAGAUUAUCGAACAAUGAUUGAGGGAGAAGAAUGCAUGAGGAAGGAGGCAGUGACAGGUGACCUAAAAUAAUAGGUGCAUGCGGAAUAAUCAUUGAAAGAAGAAAAUUCAAAUUAAGGACAUAGCCACUAUCACUACAGUGCAAUAUCACAACCGUACCUGCUCCUGCAUAAUGUGACUGCAUGACUCCACCUGCUCCCUGUGGUUUGCCCAUUUAUAAGAAAUCCUAGUCUAGUGGCUCAUUGUGCCUUUUGACAUAGCAAGAUUGGGCAUCCAGUCACCGUGUAGCAUACUGGGCCAACUGAAGAUAAAAUCUCGUUUUAGGAAAACCCCUUUUCAUCUGCAUUUCGGCUACAGAGCUAUCCACUUAUUCAGUAUUUGCCCACUUGAGAAUCAGACCAUUCUGGUUUUUUUUUAACUCUUGUAACUGGCCCAGCAAUUAUAAUGCCCUGUUCACAAAUGUAUUUUCAGCCAUCACAUUCUAGUUCCCAAGGGAUGACAAUUUAAUUCCCAAAGCUUGUGGCAGAAGGCUACAGGUCAUCAUAACACUAGAUAAACUAAGCAUUCAAAGGUACUUCGGGUAAGCUUUGACCAAUAAUCUGUUAUACAUGCUUUUUUUCCCUAUUUUUAGCUGUGGCAGUUUAUUUGUGCAAGACUUUAUACCUAAGAACUUAUAUUUGGAGUUACAAUGCUUUUAUAGCUUUAAGCCUCUUUGGGGAAGUACAAACCAAUAAAAUUAAAAUGUGGGAAGAACUAAAA